GGCCGGUGUGCUCGCUUGUGGCACUUGUAGCAAGGCCCUCAACUUAGAAGCCACUACAGCCAUGAAGGCAGCCCUCGUCCUGCUGAUCUCUGGUGUGUUGCUUGUGGCGUACUGCACGCCGCUGGCUGCUGCAGACGAUGGAGACGAAGUGUUCGAAGAUGACGACGAGACUGACAGCUCAGCAGACGACGACGCCGACGACUGCAGUGAUGAGGAGGGUCUAAGUGGAGAGAGCAGGCGGGCAGCCAAAGCAGGUGCUCACGCCCGGGCCGGCCACGCGAAACACGCUCGUGCAGGCAGCCGACACGCUGCGAGCAGAGCUGCAAACAGACCCCACGCCAGGUCAGGCGCCGCCCGCAGAGCCGCCCACAAGUUGUAGCCGCCGCCGCUGAGGGGGCGCUGCACCGUGGAGGCGCAGUCUGCGCUGCUCACACUGUCAUGUACCAUGCACUGACAUGGCAUAAAUAAAGCACCACUGCACUUUGCAGCAAA